CGAGCGAGCGGACGGGUGAGUAAUGUCUAGGAACUGCUUAUGGAGGGGGAUAACUACUGGAAACGGUAGCUAAUACCGCAUAACGUCGCAAGACAAAGAGGGGGACCUUCGGGCCUCUUGCCAUCAGAUGUGCCCAGAUGGGAUUAGCUAGUAGUGGGGUAAACGGCUCACCUAGGCGACGAUCCCUAGCUGGUCUGAGAGGAUGACAGCAACCGGAACUGAGACACGGUCCAGACUCCUACGGGAGGCAGAUCAGGGGAAUAUUGACAAUGGGCGCAAGCUGAUGCAGCAUGCCGGUGUAUGAAGAAGGCUUCGGGUUGUAAAGUACUUUCAGGGGGAGGAAGGAGUGACGGGUUUCAANUAAAACCCAACAAGGCAAAUCUGGACCAGCUANAAACCACAGACAAAAANACAGAAAACGCCAACACGGGACUUAAAACAUCCCAGNUAGACCCAGAGCAAAGGCCCANAGANAGGGUAANAUACACCGAGAANGGAGUAAGGAACACAGCAGAACAAAAAACCCCGGAAACAACAAAUAGGGAGCCAUCGUAAAAGAAACAAACACANCAAAAAGNGGAAGAGNGGCCCACUUAGGAC
rnacentral:rRNA from 1 species